rnacentral:rRNA from 1 species
GCUCCCUGAUGUUAGCGGCGGACGGGUGAGUAACACGUGGGUAACCUGCCUGUAAGACUGGGAUAACUCCGGGAAACCGGGGCUAAUACCGGAUGCUUGUUUGAACCGCAUGGUUCAGACAUAAAAGGUGGCUUCGGCUACCACUUACAGAUGGACCCGCGGCGCAUUAGCUAGUUGGUGAGGUAACGGCUCACCAAGGCAACGAUGCGUAGCCGACCUGAGAGGGUGAUCGGCCACACUGGGACUGAGACACGGCCCAGACUCCUACGGGAGGCAGCAGUAGGGAAUCUUCCGCAAUGGACGAAAGUCUGACGGAGCAACGCCGCGUGAGUGAUGAAGGUUUUCGGAUCGUAAAGCUCUGUUGUUAGGGAAGAACAAGUGCCGUUCAAAUAGGGCGGCACCUUGACGGUACCUAACCAGAAAGCCACGGCUAACUACGUGCCAGCAGCCGCGGUAAUACGUAGGUGGCAAGCGUUGUCCGGAAUUAUUGGGCGUAAAGGGCUCGCAGGCGGUUUCUUAAGUCUGAUG